AGUCCAUCGAGACAAACUUAGUCCGACUCGAGUAGGACUAGCUUAACUCUCAAGCAAGGAGAGACACAGAGGAUCAGUAAUUUGGUAACUGUCCCUGCCCAAGCAAGGAUCUUGCUCGUGGCACAUAUUUUUAUUUUGGAAACUUGAACUUCGGGAGCUUUUUGGAAACUUUUUGCACGAGAAUUAGGUCUCUUGUUUACUCUAUACAUAUGGCAACCCUUGAAGGAGAAGAAAACACCGUCUUAGAGCAAAAAACUACAUUUCUAUCUUAGUAGAACACAUAAAUUUGGAUUUUCUUGUCUUUCAAGUAAGAAUGAAGAAGGAUGCAAUUCAAGAUAGAAGAUUUGUCAUUUAUUUUUCUUCUCAAACAUCCAAUUCGGUGACGUAUUAGAAUUCUAAAAUGUUUUUGUAAUUCAACUAUGUUUCAGUAAACUCAUUUUACUAGGAUGAAGAUGCAACUUUGUUUGAAUCUUUAAUUCAAUACUUUCUCGUUUUCAAGUUCAUUUCAUUUCAUGAUUGAUUUUUUGCUAACUAUUUAUGAUUGAUUACUGUUUGAAUGCACUUGUGGCUUAUAUGAUUUUUGAGAGGUACGAAACACGUUUAAUGUAAAGUUUGAUACGAGAUAAAUCUUAGGGUGCAUUCGGUUUGCAUUUUUUUUAUCAGUUUUAAAUUCAUUUUCACUUUUAU
rnacentral:lncRNA from 1 species